AUACGUAGGGGGCGAGCGUUGUCCGGAAUGAUUGGGCGUAAAGGGCGCGUAGGCGGCGCGGUAAGUCUGGAGUGAAAGUCCUGCUUUCAAGGUGGGAAUUGCUUUGGAUACUGCCGCGCUUGAGUGCAGGAGAGGUUAUCGGAAUUCCCGGUGUAGUGGUGAAAUGCGUAGAGAUCGGGAGGAACACCAGUGGCGAAGGCGGGUAACUGGACUGCAACUGACGCUGAGGCGCGAAAGUGUGGGGAGCAAACAGGAUUAGAUACCCUGGUAGUCCACACUGUAAACGAUGAAUGCUAGGUGUAAGAGGUAUCGACCCCUUUUGUGCCGGAGUCAACACAAUAAGCAUUCCGCCUGGGGAGUACGGCCGCAAGGUUGAAACUUAAAGGAAUUGACGGGG
rnacentral:rRNA from 1 species